AACUGUUCUCUGGUGUCCUAAGUGGUUAGAGAACCUGCCCCAGAUGCAGAAAGUCAUGGGUUCAAACCCCAGCCAAGUCA